rnacentral:lncRNA from 10 species
CAUUUUCCUGCCUCAGCCUCCCGAGUAGCUGGGACUACAGGCGACUGCUGCCACGCCCGGCUAAUUUUUUGUGUUUUUAGUAAAGACAAGGUUUCACCGUGUUAGCCAGGUCGAUCUCCUGACCUCGUGGUCCACCCGCCGAACGAGGUCGAUCUCCUGACGUCGUGGUUCACCCGCCUCGGCCUCCCAAAGUGCUGGGAUUACAGACACAUAGUGUUCCUCCCCUCUGGAGGAUGCGGCGCUCAAGAUGCCAUGUUGGAAACAGAGAAACUGGACCCUGAUCUACCGGUGCCUUGACCUUGGACUGCCCAGCCUCCAGACCUGUGUGAAAUAAAUUUAUUUUCUUUAUAAAUUAUCCAAUCGGUGGUAUUCUGCUAUAGAAGCACAAAACAGACUAAGACAGGCAAGAAGAUUAUUCUGGCUGCAUAGAUGAGUUGGGAAAUAGUCUAUCUUCUAUUUUCUGGAAGAUUUUUUUGUAAUGUUAGCAUAAUCUGCUGUUCUAACGUUUGGUAGAACUUGCCCAUAAAACUGUAUGUGCCUGGGGAGGCAACAUUUCAACUUCAAUGUAUUUAAUAGUUAAAGGAAAAUUCAGUCUCUCUAUUCUCUUGAUUUUUUAAACCAAAUUAUACUAUUCUAAGUAUUUGUUUAACCUAAAUUUUAAAAUUUAGAAUAUAAAGCUUUUGACGAAAUUCUCAGUGUAUUUUAAACCUCUGUUUCAUCUAUAAUUAUGGUUCAUUUACAUUCCUAAUACUAUUUUUUCUUCUUUCUUUUUAUCUUCAUCAGUUUUACCAUAGUCUUUCCUAAGAACCCAAUUUUGGCUUUGUUGACCUUUUCUAUUGUAUUUUUUGUUGUUGGUUGUGGUGAUCUUGAGUUCUGGCCUUAUCUUUAUGUCUUUACUUCUCUCCUUGAGCUAAUUCUAUUGUUUGUUUGUUUUUGUUUUUUUACUUCUGAUUUUGGAAGUUUAGCUUGUUAAUUUUCAGCUAUUUUUCUUUUAUGUACUUUCUGUAUUGUUAUAUUUGACUAUUAAAAGUGUUUUUUUAAGCCUGUAUAUGCAAAGUGACCUGCAAACAUAGGAGCCAGGAUACCAAAGAAGGAAGCAGACGAAUCCAGCUUGUUAUAGGAUGGUUUUAUUUGGGAACUUAGGGACUGAAGGAUGGUCUUGGGCAGCUGUGAG